rnacentral:tRNA from 2 species
GUGUCUGUAAUUUAAAGGAAAAAUAUCUGUCUUCGGAACAGAAAGAUAAGGGUUCAAAUCCCUUUAGGCACU